ensembl:lncRNA
AUGAUGCUUUUUCUUCUUCCCAUUUUGCAUUUUCUUAAUCAUCUUUGGCUAGCGUAUUUUAAUGUUAUAACAAAAAACUACGUCUUGAAAGAGGUCUCUCCGGCGGCGGCCGGCAGGGGGCGCGCGGCCCCCGCUCGGCGUCGCUCGGCCUCGAGUUCCCACAGGGCCCCGGGCGCCAUGGGCUGCGCCAAGAGCAAGGAGGGGCGGGCGGCCGAGCGGAAGGCCAAACGCAAGAGUGACCGGGGCGGUCGCACGGCAGGAAUCCAGGACCCUGGGCUGAGAGUGACAGACUCAAAGCGCCAGAGGCGGUUUUACACCGGUUUUAUCUGGAGAUUCUGAUUGGGUAGGUCUUGUGUGAGGCGCCGCCAUGUACCCUCAGGCCCCCACACCCUCUUGCCAUCUAUCCCCAAUCUUAUCAGACAGAUCUUGCCCCUACUCCCGUGAAUCUUCACGUUUCUGACGCACUUUAUCCUUCAGCACGUUUCUGACGCACCCCACUGUAUCCUUUCAAUUACUCUUUGAGGUGAGAAAGAUUCUUGUAUUUCCUCGGCUUUGCAGGUAAUGGCCAUAGUGGCUAACAGUUACUAAGCACUGUUCAAACACUUGACGUGGACAAUCUUAUUUUACAGAUACAGAAACUGAGGCACCUAGAGGUUACAAAACCCGCCCAAAGAUCCGCAGCUGAUAAGUGGUAGAAUAUGGGCGGGGUGGAACAUGGCUGAGGCAAUUUGAUUCCAAAGCCCAGGUCUUCACCAUUGUACUCCACCUCUCACCUCUGAUUUUCGCAAGUGUAAAAAGUGAGACCCACAAAAGUAACUUGCCCGAUUUAAAAAAAAAAAGAAGUGUGUUGUGUUGUUUUUUUUUUUUUUAAACCAAGGUGUAGUUGAUUUACAAUGUUGUGUGAAUUGUAACCUGCCCAGCUGAUGGAGUUGGUAAAUGCUGUAGGGUCUGCCUCUUUCAGAGACUUAAAAUUUAGUUAGGGCAGCAUAUGGUGAAGGUCUAAGAGGAAUGUUAGAAACAGCCAAGUGGGGAAGGCAACUCCCUUGGAAAUAAGGAUUUUGCAGGGGUAUCUCAAAGAUGUCUUGCUCUGGGAGUAGCUGAUAAGACCAGCCUGGAAGUGGUAAAGACUUGAAAUGGGGGAAGGGAAGAAUGAGAGAAAGUGGGGUGGGGGAGUUGCUGCUCAAGGUCACACAGGUCAGGGUUAGGGUUAGUGUUAGGUUUAGGUGAAGGAGUUUGAGUCUGCGUGUCCCAAAUUUGCCUUCCGUGUACCAGUUUCAGAAUUUUUUCCCAUAUUCAUGUACUAUGAUCUAUUUUUCUUUAAUUAUGUCACCUUCUGAAAUGCUUUAUAAUUGAAAUAUACUGUAUGUACAGAAAAGUGCAAUUAUUUUUGCAAACUGAACGACCCUAUCCAGCCAGCACCCAGCUAAAGAAACAAGCUUUCCAAUACCUCAGAAACCCCCUCAUGCCUCUUACUGUCACACCACCACACCAAGGGCAACCACUUUGCUGAUUUCUUCUUUUUUUUUUUUUGCCCCACCUCAAGGCUUGAGGGAUCUUAGUUCUGCCACCAGAGAUUAAAGCCAGACUGUCAGCAGUGGAAGCAUGGAGUCCUAACCACUGGACUGCCAGAGAAUUCCCUUUGCUUAUUUCUAAUAGCAUAAAAAUGUCACCUUUGCAUUUACUUUUCAAAAUAAGUUUAGCAUUUUUUAAGCAUUAAUCUAUAGAAGCACUGCUUUGUUCUACACAUUUUUCUAUCAGGGAAGCCCACAUUUUUCUAUACACAUACAUAUAUGCAUCCUGUUGAACUUUAAUAAAAAUGUUCUUCCAUGUAUCA